UUACAAGUGCGAUGUGGGGACGGAGAAGGUUAGCUCAGCCAACUGUUGGAUAUGUUGGUUCAAGCCUGUAGUCAUGCCCGGUAGGCAAAUCCGCCGGGCUUAGAUGAGGGGUGAUAAGGAGUCUGCUUGCAGACGAACUGAGUGAUACCCUGCUUCCAGGAAAAGCCACUAAGCUUCAGCUUGUAACGACCGUACCGCAAACCGACACUGGUGCGCGAGAUGAGUAUUCUAAUGCGCUUGAGAGAACUCUGGAGAAGGAACUCGGCAAAUUGAUACCGUAACUUCGGGAGAAGGUAUGCCCCUAGUAGGUGAACUCGAACAGAGGGAGCCCAAUGGGGUUGCAAAAAAUCGGUGGCUGCGACUGUUUAAUAAAAACACAGCACUCUGCAAACACGAAAGUGGACGUAUAGGGUGUGACGCCUGCCCGGUGCUGGAAGAUUAAAUGAUGGGGUGCAAGCUCUUGAUUGAAGUCCCAGUAAACGGCGGCCGUAACUAUAACGGUCCUAAGGUAGCGAAAUUCCUUGUCGGGUAAGUUCCGACCUGCACGAAUGGCGUAACGAUGGCCACACUGUCUCCUCCAGAGACUCAGCGAAGUUGAAAUGUUUGUGAUGAUGCAAUCUCCCCGCGGAAAGACGGAAAGACCCCAUGAACCUUUACUGUAGCUUUGUAUUGGACUUUGAACAGAUCUGUGUAGGAUAGGUGGGAGGCUUUGAAGCCGGAACGCUAGUUUCGGUGGAGCCAACGUUGAAAUACCACCCUGGUGUGUUUGAGGUUCUAACCUAGGUCCAUUAUCUGGAUCGGGGACAGUGCAUGGUAGGCAGUUUGACUGGGGCGGUCUCCUCCCAAAGUGUAACGGAGGAGUUCGAAGGUACGCUAGGUACGGUCGGACAUCGUGCUAAUAGUGCAAUGGCAUAAGCGUGCUUAACUGCGAGACUGACAAGUCGAGCAGAUGCGAAAGCAGGACAUAGUGAUCCGGUGGUUCUGUAAGGAAGGGCCAUCGCUCAACGGAUAAAAGGUACUCUGGGGAUAACAGGCUGAUACCGCCCAAGAGUUCAUAUCGACGGCGGUGUUUGGCACCUCGAUGUCGGCUCAUCUCAUCCUGGGGCUGUAGCCGGUCCCAAGGGUAUGGCUGUUCGCCAUUUAAAGAGGUACGUGAGCUGGGUUUAAAACGUCGUGAGACAGUUUGGUCCCUAUCUUCCGUGGGCGCUGCAGAUUUGAGGAAGCCUGCUCCUAGUACGAGAGGACCGGAGUGGACACACCUCUGGUGUAUCGGUUGUCACGCCAGUGGCAUUGCCGAGUAGCUAAGUGUGGAAGAGAUAACCGCUGAAAGCAUCUAAGCGGGAAACUCGUUUCAAGAUGAGAUCUGCCGGGGCCUUGAGCCCCCUAAAGAGUCGUUCAAGACCAGGACGUUGAUAGGUCAGGUGUGGAAGCGCAGUAAUGCGUUAAGCUAACUGAUUCUAAUUGCUCGUGCGGCUUGACCAA
rnacentral:rRNA from 1 species